rnacentral:sRNA from 1 species
UCAGCCUCAUCCCACCAGAAGAACGGUGGGCCUGGCCUGAGGUGGAGCAGCCAGAACUUCCUGCAUUGCCCGUGGUGCCUGAACUCCCUGAGGUGCCCAUGGAGAUGCCUUUGGUGCUGCCCCCGGAGCUCGAGCUGCUCUCACUGGAAGCAGUGCACAGGUACCAGGGAGGUGGCAGCUUGAUGGGGUGGACCCGGGCUGAAGCCUCUGCUAAUGAUUCUUGAUCUCUAUAGGGCAGUGGCACUGGAGCUGCAGGCUAACAGGGAGCCAGACUUCAGCAGCCUGGUGUCACCUCUCAGCCCCCGCAGGAUGGCUGCCCGGGUCUUCUACCUGCUGCUGGAUUCUUCGCGUGGAACAAGAAAAGCCAUAUGGUCGCCUCCUGAUCCAGCCAGGGCCCAAAUUCCACUGAGGUUAGAGUCCAUUUACAAAGCUGCCAGGAAACCGGCCACUUCUAGUAAACCACGUCGUGCCUCACUGGGUCCUGCUUACCUCAUUUCUGAAUGUGCAUUUCUAGCCUUCUUGCUCUCAGAGCUAUUGUUCAAGCAGAAAACAAGCUGCUUUUAUUAC